UACGUAGGGUGCAAGCGUUAAUCGGAAUUACUGGGCGUAAAGCGUGCGCAGGCGGUUAUGCAAGACAGAGGUGAAAUCCCCGGGCUCAACCUGGGAACUGCCUUUGUGACUGCAUGACUAGAGUACGGGUAGAGGGGGAUGGAAUUCCGCGUGUAGCAGUGAAAUGCGUAGAUAUGCGGAGGAACACCGAUGGCGAAGGCAAUCCCCUGGACCUGUACUGACGCUCAUGCACGAAAGCGUGGGGAGCAAACAGG
rnacentral:rRNA from 1 species